rnacentral:tRNA from 1 species
GGCUCCGUGGCGCAAUGGAUAGCGCAUUGGACUUCUAGGCAAACACGAAGUGAUUCAAAGGUUGUGGGUUCGAGUCCCACCGGAGUCG